UAAGUUGGUAGUGAAAGCGUGGGGCUCAACCCCAUAAACAUUAUCAAAACUACAAAGCUAGAGGAUGAGAGAGGUUAUUGGAAUUCCCAGUGUAGGAGUGAAAUCCGUAGAUAUUGGGAGGAACACCGAUGGCGUAGGCAGAUAACUGGCUCAUUCCUGACACUAAGGCACGAAAGCGUGGGUAGCAAACGGGAUUAGAUACCCCGGUAGUCCACGCCGUAAACUAUGGAUACUA
rnacentral:rRNA from 1 species